CCUACGGGGGGCAGCAGUGAGGAAUACUGGUCAAUGGACGAGAGUCUGAACCAGCCAAGUAGCGUGAAGGAUGACUGCCCUAUGGGUUGUAAACUUCUUUUAUAUGGGAAUAAAAUGUUCCACGUGUGGGAUUUUGUAUGUACCAUAUGAAUAAGGAUCGGCUAACUCCGUGCCAGCAGCCGCGGUAAUACGGAGGAUCCGAGCGUUAUCCGGAUUUAUUGGGUUUAAAGGGAGCGUAGGUGGAUUGUUAAGUCAGUUGUGAAAGUUUGCGGCUCAACCGUAAAAUUGCAGUUGAAACUGGCAGUCUUGAGUACAGUAGAGGUGGGCGGAAUUCGUGGUGUAGCGGUGAAAUGCUUAGAUAUCACGAAGAACUCCGAUUGCGAAGGCAGUUCACUGGACUGCAACUGACACUGAGGCUCGAAAGUGUGGGUAUCAAACAGGAUUAGAUACCCUUGUAGUC
rnacentral:rRNA from 1 species